rnacentral:tRNA from 1 species
CGGGAUUUAGUUCAGCCCGGUUAGAAUGCCUGCUUUGGGAGCAGGAGGUCGUGAGUUCGAAUCUCGCAAUCCCGA